UACGUAGGGUGCGAGCGUUAAUCGGAAUUACUGGGCGUAAAGCGUGCGCAGGCGGUUCGUUGUGUCGGCGGUGAAAGCCCCGGGCUCAACCUGGGAAUUGCGAUGGAGACUGCAAGGCUUGAAUCUGGCAGAGGGGGGUAGAAUUCCACGUGUAGCAGUGAAAUGCGUAGAGAUGUGGAGGAACACCGAUGGCGAAGGCAGCCCCUGGGUCAAGAUUGACGCUCAUGCACGAAAGCGUGGGGAGCAAACAGG
rnacentral:rRNA from 1 species